CUUAAGGCCAUUCCGUACAGGGCGCAUACCCUCUUGUACACUAGGUCAAGUAUCGGGUUGGCUCAUUUUUUUUCUAUGUUUCCAUAUUAGGUAUUCUAUGUUUUUUUUUUCUUUUUUUUCUUUUUGAUGAAAUGGGUGACCCUUUUUCAAUAGAGAUGUUUUUUUUUUCAAAAUUGAUGAUUUUUUUUAAAUCGAUGAACUUUUUUUCCAGGGCAAUGAUUCUUUUUACAAAACUAGCACAUAUGCCCAUGCUUCGCUACGGAGGAAACAUGAUUGCUAAGAACCAGGUGGUAAUCUCUACUCCUAAUGUCUCAGUUGGUAGUCUCCAUUCCGGGUUUAUUUUCGUCCCACCAUUUUCGUCCGGUUUUUUCGCUGGUUUUUUUCGUCGGUUUUCUCGUCCCUUCCCCGCACAGCCAGCGAGGCUCCCCUCGAUCUAUGUAUUCUAUCCUACGAUCUCUCAAAGACGCCCCAGCCCCCAAUACGAGCCGCCGCCAAGAUCCAAGACGAGCCGCCGCCGAGAUACGAGUCGAUCCGCCGCCGCCGAGGACCAAGUGGAGCCGCCGCUGGCCAGGCUCCCCACGAUGUGCGCGCCGGGGCGCCGCUCCCGCUCCCGCAGCCGAGCAUAGCAGCGGCGGCGGAGCCCCGCCACCGGCGAGCUCUCUCUGGCGGAGGAGGGCGGGGGCGAGCUCGCCGUCUCCCUCGCGCUCAACAAUCUCUUCUCCCACGCCGUCGCCCGCUUCACGGCCUACUUCGGUCUCAUGCCGCCAUGCCUCCACUGCUCCCGCAUCGACCGGCUCUUCGGCGCGGAGGGCGUCCAUCAGGCGGCGGGCGAGAUCUCCGGGAUGGGCCACUGCCUCCACCAUCACCGCCUCUUCGUUGCCGCCGCCCCCGACAUGUGCGAGGGAUGCCUCUCUUCUUCAAAGAACGAGAUGAAUGAAGGAUGCAGAGGAGACAGGCUCCAUGGCGUGUUCCUGCUGUAAAGCUCUCGACCUCUCGUACAGGGCACACCUCCGAGCUAGCCGAUGCUUAGUAUACCAGUGUUCUGCUGCAUCCGGUGCGACCUCAAAGAAUACCUUCGUCUAGCUGACCGUUGAGCACCUUAGGGACGACGAGAUGCAGUGCCUGGGGUGUAAGCAGUUCAACUACACGAUGAAGUGAGUGAAGGGGUUAAGACGGUUGUGUUGUGCGUGCGCUGCUUGCUUGCUGUCAACUUGUUGGACAACUGUACACGUAUGUGUUUUUUCAAGCCCACUGAUUUCAGCCUCUCCGUCUCCUUCAAGCCGAUGAGAAGUUCAGGGAUAUUCCUGGGAGUGCCUAUUAUGUGGCUCCGGAGGUGCUGAAGCGGAGAUAUGGAGCCGAUAAUUGCAUAUGGAGUGCUGGAGUUAUACUCUACAUUCUGCUGUCUGGCAUUCCUCCUUUUUGGGCAGCAGGGCAGGUGCGUUCUCUGGCUGGUUAUGUCAAUCAAUUUUGGGGCUGUGAUGGAUGCAAAGACUGGAAGAUCCUCCUGUGAAGCAUAAAUUUCAUUGUAUCCAAGGAGAUAUCUAAUGCUGAAAACAUGAGACUCAAAAUGUAUAGAGAGUCGGAGACACUGCUAAACACUGUCAUUUAUGGGUGUCUACCAAAUUCACUAUCAACCACUGUUGUAGGACCGGCGGUUGGGAGGACGUAGACUAAGAGCUAUAUAUGAUGAUUCUACAAAAGAUAAUGUACUGGAAGACAUGAGAACUUUUAGGAUGCUACAGUGUAAAAAUAUUUGGAAGAUGGUAUGGUUUGCCGGACCGGAACCAAAGCAAGAACGAGAAGGAGCUUAAGUAGGGCCAUGUCGAGGUGUCGCCACAAUAGGAAAUUGUCGCUGGUGCUAGAUACCAGGGGAACCAAAAAAUCUUUUUUCUACAAAGGGUGGAAGAGCUUUUGAAUUUAGAUGGUAGUCGGAGGAGUGGGCCAGGUACUUAGCAAAAGGUUUAGCUGCUUUUUUAGAACAGAGAUGGAGCAUGGGUUACCUACAAGAUCCAACACAGAACGUGAAGUAGUGUGAUUAAGUCCAAGAAGGGGAAAAUGCUAGAGACGGACCAGCCAAAGGGUGAAUAUCUUGUGCUCUACAUACUUACCAAUGGCCGCAGUUAACAAUUUGGGCCUAAUAUUGGACAUGAACUUAAACAAUUUACAGUGUUUUUUAAGGCUGAUUGUUGCUAUGAAGAAUGGAAUGGCCAUGCUAUUGAUAGAGAACACUCUCGGAAGUUGGAUCUCUCUUUUUGUGCUAUUAUUGCUGAAAUUAAGAGGCUCAUUACAAGGAAUUGUCAGAUUUUGUGUACCUUGUAAUAGUGACACGCAUGGAGGUGUGAAUUGAGUGAUAUUGAUACUAUUUAGUAAUGGAUGGUAUAUGUUCUUUGGUGGCGAGCGAUUUUCUGGUUUAGGAUACACCAAGACCGCCAAGAAAGAAAGAAGCCGGAGAGAGUUUGAAUUUGUCGCUAUUUGAUGAAACCAGAUGCCAUCAUGCUUAACAACGUAUUUCUGAAUUAAAAUAACAAUUUGAUAAAUGUGUAUAUUUCUAUUAUUUCAUGGCAAUGCAUGGUCAUCUGGUGUUUGCCCGUAGCAACGCACGGGCAUUCUAUCACCGUCUACCAUUUUGCCCACAAGAAAAAUAUAAUUAUGUACUUGUUUUCUAUUUAUUGCAGAUAAUAUGCUUGGACUCACAAGUGCAUCUAAUGCUUCCAUAUGGAGGUUUUCAACAUCACAAAUUUCAUACUAAUGGAGUGGAGCUACCAAAAUAUCUAUUGAGGUAAAAUCACUAUAUACAUAUUGUUUUCCCCCAUUGCGUCAGGCGACACGCAUCUGUUGCAAAGAAAUAGGCAUCACCUGCGUGCUUGCUUUUGUUCGUUUCUAGCCGGCAAGAAUCCAUCGAGUCUUCCUCUAUGUGUGCAACCUUGCCAGCAUGGGAAUCAAUCAAGGUAGGGGCAGCCAACGUUAAGUAUGUGCAGUCUUGCCGGGAUCCAAUCUAUUAACUCCUUCAGCCAGCUUUGCACUAUGUGCACGACGUCCAUGCUCGAAAGCACUUUGCAAGUGGACCAUGCACGGCUCCACCGGCCUUGCGUCAACAAUUCAAAUCCUUAUCUUAUACUUCCUCUGUCUGAAAAAGCUUGUCCCAAGCUUGUCCCUUAAAUGGAUGUAUCUAGCACUAACUUGGUGCUAGAUACAUCCAUUUGAGGGACAAGCUUUUUCGGACGGAGGGAGUACUACUAGAUAGACACAUACUUUUUUUAUGCAAUUCUUAAUUUAUAGAAGCAGAAGAACUGAUUAUGUGAAUUGAAUAUAUAAUCCCAUGUGUAGGUGCUAUCCAAGUGUUGUGAUUAUUUAGCACACAUAACUUGCAGGGAGAUAACUCUAUAGUAUGAAGACUUUAAAAUACGAGUGCGUGUCGUUGGUGUUUUUGAAACCAUCUUCCAUCACGUCUAAUAUUUUUGUAUUUCAUAAUAGUAAUUGUUCAGCCUUUGACUGACAUAUGGAUGAUAUUUGUAAUAUAUAUCUUUCUUCCAUAUGACGGUAACAUUAUGAUGAAGGUGGAACCAUAGAGAGAUGUGUAUUUUUAAUUGAGAUAUUUUCAGGAGUACCUUUGUGAAGCUGGUAUAUCUUUCUUUUACAAGAUAUGGUUGCACUUGCUUCAUCUACAUAGGCUGUCUGGAAUGCCAUGAGGCCGGGAUUGGUGUAGGAAAUCUUCAAAGCUAUUAUAUUGGUCUCAAGAAACUUGCAAUACAUCAAUGCAUUAUGAUUCUCCAUGGUCAUGCUUCUCCUGUUCACCUGGAAGUUUAUUGAUGGGAGGGAAGCCACUUCUGCUUUGAUGAUUUCUUGGAAGUUCAGCUAGGUGAAUUUACAAUACAAGUCAGAUUAUUUGCGAGAGAAUUUCAUUCCCUAGAAUCAUUGUCAUUCUUGUUGCCUACAAGGUACUUGAAGAAAAUGCCCGAGACAUAUUUUAAGGAGUAUAAUUCAGCACUAAGGCUAUUAUUACAACGAUGGAAUCUUUGUUGUGGUAGUUAUGUCUCCAAAUGCGUCGAUCCCUAUCGGCUACUGAAGUAAACUUAUUUAUUUUUUCUGUGUCGAUUUCUAUUGGCUUACUGAUAGCUUAUUUAUUCUUUUCGAAUUUUAAUCCUUGAUCUUUGCCUCUGCCCAUCUCCAUAUCACACAGAAGGUGCUCAGUGUAAUGCAUCAUGCAGUGAUUCCAUGAUAGGAAUUAGGAACUGCUCAUCAUUUGAAUGUUUCUACAAUUUUCCUGCUUGUUAGAACAUGUUUGAUGUACUUACACAUUAACAAAAAUGACCUGUAAAUUCAUGAAAAUAUUUGGGUUUGGUCAUCUACUUUUUUACUGUUUAUUUACUCAUGAAGAUAGCAGAUGUUCCUGUUUUUAAAUAUAGUUAUUUGUGCUUCCAGUUGGUAGAGAUCAAAGUAUUAACUCGCCGAUGUAGGGAAAAAGAGCUCUUUUAUAGACACUACUAGUAGUGGAUACAGGGUGAGCCUUUUUGAAAUUGUUUCAUAGAAUAAGGCCCGUAUAAGGUCUGGUCUUUUGGGUAUACAAUCCUUUCUUGAGAUGAGCAUUGGCAGCUCACAUAUGUAUACAGUAGUAUAUUUGACAGAUGAUGAUGAUCAUUGGCAGCUCACAUAAGGGCAUCUCCAGCCGUUUGAGCCCCCUAGGACAAUCGCCGGACCAAAAAUGGCACGUCCUGGGGGGCAAAACUCUUCCGCCGGCGCCCCCAAGAAUCCGUAUCCCCAGCCGUUGGUGUCCUCAGAAGAAUUGCGGGGCAAAAAGUGA